rnacentral:tRNA from 1 species
GGGCGGUUAGCUCAGUUGGCUAGAGCGCCUGCUCGACACGCAGGAGGUCGUAGGUUCGAGUCCUAUACCGCCCA